rnacentral:rRNA from 1 species
AGAGUUUGAUCCUGGCUCAGGAUGAACGCUGGCGGCGUGCCUAACACAUGCAAGUCGAACGGACUUAUAUUGAAACCUAGUGAUUUAUGAGUUAGUGGCGGACGGGUGAGUAACGCGUGGAAAACCUGCCGUAUACCGGGGGAUAACACUUAGAAAUAGGUGCUAAUACCGCAUAAGCGCACAGCUUCGCAUGAAGCAGUGUGAAAAACUCCGGUGGUAUACGAUGGUUCCGCGUCUGAUUAGCUAGUUGGCGGGGUAACGGCCCACCAAGGCAGCGAUCAGUAGCCGGCCUGAGAGGGUGAACGGCCACAUUGGGACUGAGACACGGCCCAGACUCCUGCGGGAGGCAGCAGUGGGGAAUAUUGCACAAUGGGGGGAACCCUGAUGCAGCAAUGCCGCGUGGGUGAAGAAGCACUCCGGUGCGUAAAGCCCUGUCAGCAGGGAAGAAAAUGACAGUACCUGGACAAGAAGCCCCGGCUAACUACGUGCCAGCAGCCGCGGUAAUACGUAGGGGGCAAGCGUUAUCCGGAUUUACUGGGUGUAAAGGGAGCGCAGGCGGCGUGGCAAGUCAGAUGUGAAAACCCGGGGCCCAACCCCGGGAGUGCAUUUGAAACUGCCAUGCUGGAGUGCCGGAGAGGUAAGCGGAAUUCCUAGUGUAGCGGUGAAAUGCGUAGAUAUCAGGAGGAACACCGGUGGCGAAGGCGGCCUGCUGGACGGCGACUGACGUUGAGGCUCGAAAGCGUGGGGAGCGAACAAGAUUAGAUACCCUGGUAGUCCACGCCGUAAACGAUGUAUACCAAGGUGUCGGGCAUCAAGGAUGGCCGGUGCCGUAGCAAACGCAUUAAGUAUACCACCUGGGGAGUACGUUCGCAAGAAUGAAACUCAAAGGAAUUGACGGGGACCCGCACAAGCGGUGGAGCAUGUGGUUUAAUCCGAAGCAACGCGAAGAACCUUACCAAGCCUUGACAUCCCGCUGACAGGGGCGUAACGGCCCCCUCCCUCCGGGGCAGCGGUGACAGGUGGUGCAUGGUUGUCGUCAGCUCGUGUCGUGAGAUGUUGGGUUAAGUCCCGCAACGAGCGCAACCCCUGUCCUUAGUAGCCAGCAUGAAAAGAUGGGCACUCUAGGGAGACAGCCGGGGACAACCCGGAGGAAGGCGGGGAUGACGUCAAAUCAUCAUGCCCCUUAUGGACUGGGCUACACACGUGCUACAAUGGCGCCUACAAAGUGAAGCGAGCGUGAGAGCGUAAGCAAAACACAAAAAAGGCGUCCCAGUUCGGAUUGUAGUCUGCAACUCGACUACAUGAAGCUGGAAUCGCUAGUAAUCGCGGAUCAGAAUGCCGCGGUGAAUACGUUCCCGGGUCGUGCACUCACCGCCCGUCA